rnacentral:rRNA from 1 species
AGCGAAAUUCCUUGUCGGGUAAGUUCCGACCUGCACGAAUGGCGUAAUGAUGGCCACGCUGUCUCCACCCGAGACUCAGUGAAAUUGAAAUCGCUGUGAAGAUGCAGUGUACCCGCGGCUAGACGGAAAGACCCCGUGAACCUUUACUACAGCUUGGCACUGAACAUUGACCCUACAUGUGUAGGAUAGGUGGGAGGCUUUGAAGCACGUACGCCAGUAUGUGUGGAGCCGUCCUUGAAAUACCACCCUUGUAGUGUUGAUGUUCUAACGUCGACCCCUUAUCGGGGUUGCGGACAGUGCCUGGUGGGUAGUUUGACUGGGGCGGUCUCCUCCCAAAGNGUAACGGAGGAGCACGAAGGUGGGCUAAUCACGGUUGGACAUCGUGAGGUUAGUGCAAUGGCAUAAGCCCGCUUGACUGCGAGAAUGACAAUUCGAGCAGGUGCGAAAGCAGGUCAUAGUGAUCCGGUGGUUCUGAAUGGAAGGGCCAUCGCUCAACGGAUAAAAGGUACUCCGGGGAUAACAGGCUGAUACCGCCCAAGAGUUCAUAUCGACGGCGGUGUUUGGCACCUCGAUGUCGGCUCAUCACAUCCUGGGGCUGAAGUCGGUCCCAAGGGUAUGGCUGUUCGCCAUUUAAAGUGGUACGCGAGCUGGGUUUAGAACGUCGUGAGACAGUUCGGUCCCUAUCUGCCGUGGGCGUUGGAAGAUUGAAGGGGGCUGCUCCUAGUACGAGAGGACCGGAGUGGACGAACCUCUGGUGUUCGGGUUGUGUCGCCAGACGCAUUGCCCGGUAGCUAAGUUCGGAAUCGAUAACCGCUGAAAGCAUCUAAGCGGGAAGCGAGCCCUGAGAUGAGUCUUCCCUGAUACUUUAAGUAUCCUAAAGGGUUGUCGGAGACUACGACGUUGAUAGGUCAGGUGUGUAAGUGCUGUGAGGCAUUGAGCUAACUGAUACUAAUUGCCCGUGAGGCUUAACCAU